rnacentral:rRNA from 1 species
UACGGAGGGUGCAAGCGUUGUUCGGAAUCACUGGGCGUAAAGCGCGUGUAGGCUGUUGUGAAAGUUGGGUGUGAAAGCCCUCGGCUCAACCGAGGAAUAGCGCCCAAAACUACACAACUGGAGUACGGGAGAGGGACGUGGAAUUCCUGGUGUAGAGGUGAAAUUCGUAGAUAUCAGGAGGAACACCCGUGGCGAAGGCGACGUCCUGGACCGAUACUGACGCUGAGACGCGAAAGCGUGGGGAGCAAACAGG